GGCGGCGCAGACUCUCGGCUUUGCACGGAGGUGCUAGCUAGCAAAGCCCUGGAGGAGAAUAGACAGACACCAAGCCCCGCCUAAAGGGCUCCGCAAGUUUAGCAAGUUCGGGUUGUUUUUUCCAAACCCUGUCCACCCCUGGAAGAAAACACUUCCUGCCCUAAGGUCAGAGAAAGCCUUCUCUCAUCUGUGUGGGUCUUGUGUUCUUUGUAAGAGUCUGAGACUAACGCCCAGAUGCUAGUCUGAAGGGUUAGUGCUCAAGGGGUGCUCAGGACUAAAAGUCUCAGAUUAGCUGAGAAACUCCCUACAAGAGAGUUCACCAGUCAGUAACACCUGCAGGCAGUUAGUUCCCAAGGAGAUCUAAAUAUCAACCUACGUUGGUUACAAUUUUGAGACUUGAGCGGAACAGAUGUAAGUUCCCUUUUCUGCCCCACAAAACCGUCAAGCUCCCUGAGCAUCUGCGCAGCCUCCACUUCCCCCAAGACUGCCUCCUUUCACUGUUUUAAUAAAAGGACCCUCUGCUUCUGUUGA
rnacentral:lncRNA from 1 species